rnacentral:rRNA from 1 species
UACGGAAAGGCAGCAGUGGGGAAUAUUGCACAAUGGGCGCAAGCCUGAUGCAGCCAUGCCGCGUGUAUGAAAAAGGCCUUCGGGUUGUAAAGUACUUUCAGUCGUGAGGAAGGUGUUAAGGUUAAUAACCUUAGCAAUUGACGUUAGCGACAGAAGAAGCACCGGCUAACUCCGUGCCAGCAGCCGCGGUAAUACGGAGGGUGCGAGCGUUAAUCGGAAUUACUGGGCGUAAAGGGCACGCAGGCGGUUAAUUAAGUUGGAUGUGAAAUCCCCGGGCUUAACCUGGGAAUGGCAUUCAAGACUGGUUAGCUAGAGUCUUGUAGAGGGGGUAGAAUUCCAUGUGUAGCGGUGAAAUGCGUAGAGAUGUGGAGGAAUACCGGUGGCGAAGGCGGCCCCUGGACAAAGACUGACGCUCAUGUGCGAAAGCGUGGGGAGCAAACG